UACGGGGGGGGCAAGCGUUGUUCGGAAUUACUGGGCGUAAAGGGCUCGUAGGUGGCCAACUAAGUCAGACGUGAAAUCCCUCGGCUUAACCGGGGAACUGCGUCUGAUACUGGAUGGCUUGAGUUCGGGAGAGGGAUGCGGAAUUCCAGGUGUAGCGGUGAAAUGCGUAGAUAUCUGGAGGAACACCGGUGGCGAAGGCGGCAUCCUGGACCGACACUGACGCUGAGGCGCGAAAGCCAGGGGAGCAAACGGG
rnacentral:rRNA from 1 species